GCAAACAGGAUUAGAUACCCUGGUAGUCCACGCCCUAAACGAUGUCAACUGGUUGUUGGGGGAGUGAAAUCCCUUAGUAACGAAGCUAACGCGUGAAGUUGACCGCCUGGGGAGUACGGUCGCAAGAUUAAAACUCAAAGGAAUUGACGGGGACCCGCACAAGCGGUGGAUGAUGUGGAUUAAUUCGAUGCAACGCGAAAAACCUUACCUACCCUUGACAUGUCCGGAAUCCUGCAGAGAUGCGGGAGUGCCCGAAAGGGAAUCGGAACACAGGUGCUGCAUGGCUGUCGUCAGCUCGUGUCGUGAGAUGUUGGGUUAAGUCCCGCAACGAGCGCAACCCUUAUCAUUAGUUGCUACGCAAGGGCACUCUAAUGAGACUGCCGGUGACAAACCGGAGGAAGGUGGGGAUGACGUCAAGUCCUCAUGGCCCUUAUGGGUAGGGCUUCACACGUCAUACAAUGGUCGGUACAGAGGGUUGCCAAGCCGCGAGGGGGAGCCAAUCCCAGAAAGCCGAUCGUAGUCCGGAUUGUUCUCUGCAACUCGAGAGCAUGAAGUCGGAAUCGCUAGUAAUCGCGGAUCAGCAUGUCGCGGUGAAUACGUUCCCGGGUCUUGUACACACCGCCCGUCACACACCAUAGAGU
rnacentral:rRNA from 1 species